UUGUGCCCAGAGUUUGAUUUUCCACAGACCAGGUAGAGGCCAAGAGCCUCUCACAGACUCUGCAGCAGGGUUGCUAUGAUUAACUCUUAAGUACUCCACAACUACACGCUUUUGAAACUGGCGUUGGCAUAGCGUUAGUUCUGUGCAGGGCGGACGCAGCAGGACAGAAUCUCCCUGGGCAUCUUUUCGGAGCAUCAAUUUUACUGCAAAAUUUUGAAAAAACAAAUUUAAUUGAUUUCCAAGGUUUGUCAAGGAGGACAGAAACUCAGAGCACCCUGCACUUGGGGAUCGGCACUAGGAGCUGCUCUCUGGAUGGGGAGAUGGGAGCUAGCAGCUCACAAUGGGGUCACAAGACAUCUGAAAAUACUCAGAAGUUACAAGAAUUCAUAAAAUACCCACCAAAGCUAAUAGAAAACAUGGAACCUUCCAGGACAAGAAGUAAAUUAAAAGAACAACCCAGAGGAGUAAUCAAAGUGAGAAGCCAGUGCCGCCUCCAGGUACUGGAUGAUCACAGGGACCUCAGGCUUUGGGGAUUAUUCAACUACCUUCUUGG
rnacentral:lncRNA from 1 species